rnacentral:lncRNA from 10 species
AAUUUGCGAAGUGAGGACACUAUCACAAGAUCCAAAUCAAUGUCCUUCCGGGAGAAUUUCUUAAAAUCUUGUUUUCUCUCGUUGUCUUCGGAAGAAGCCCGACAUUUCUUAUAGGAAAUGGAACUCUUCAUAAGUCUGGCCAUGGAGGCAUGGUAUCCGUAACAUCCCCCAAAGGAGCUAAAGAAGAAAUCCACAAUUUACCAUGAGCAUUUCUCGUCUGAAGAUUGCCAAGCGAUUCCUCCAGGACAUUCCUCAAGAUCAAUUUCUGUUCAUCCACCUUGUCCUGGGAGGGACAUCAAUGGGUUUCCAUGUCCUUUGGCUUCUGGUUGAGUUCACUCAGUGGAGAACCCUGGCAAGAGGCAGGAAAAGGGGAGGAAGGUGAAAACCAUCCAUUUCUUGGAGAAGUGCCACGGUGGGGUUGCAAGUCCCAGGAUCAAGUUUUCGAUGUGUCUCUUUUUCCCGUAAAGUGGCUGAAAUCUGAAGCUGAAUCUGCAAGUGUCAUGGAGUCAUUGAAUCUCACAGUCUCAACUGAUAAAAGUUAUUAAAGGUCGUCUGGUUCAGCCUUCU